rnacentral:rRNA from 1 species
AGAACGAACGCUGGCGGCAUGCCUAACACAUGCAAGUCGAACGCUCUUGGGGCUUCGGUCUCAGGGGAGUGGCGCACGGGUGAGUAGCGCGUGGGAACCUGCCCUGUUGUGGGGGAUAACCGAGGGAAACUUCGGCUAAUACCGCAUAAGCCGGUUGUCUUGAAGGAGAUGGCCGGGAAAGAUUUAUCGCGACAGGAGGGGCCCGCGUCGGAUUAGCUAGUUGGUGGGGUAACGGCCCACCAAGGCGGUGAUCCGUAGCUGGUCUGAGAGGAUGAUCAGCCACACUGGGACUGAGACACGGCCCAGACUCCUACGGGAGGCAGCAGUGGGGAAUAUUGGACAAUGGGCGCAAGCCUGAUCCAGCAAUGCCGCGUGAGUGAUGAAGGCCUUAGGGUUGUAAAGCUCUUUCGCCCGCGACGAUGAUGACGGUAGCGGGAGAAGGAACGCCCCGGCUAACUUCGUGCCAGCAGCCGC